rnacentral:rRNA from 1 species
AUUGAACGCUGGCGACAUGCCUUACACAUGCAAGUCGAACGGCAGCACGGGUGCUUGCACCUGGUGGCGAGUGGCGAACGGGUGAGUAAUACAUCGGAACAUGUCCUGUAGUGGGGGAUAGCCCGGCGAAAGCCGGAUUAAUACCGCAUACGAUCUACGGAUGAAAGCGGGGGACCUUCGGGCCUCGCGCUAUAGGGUUGGCCGAUGGCUGAUUAGCUAGUUGGUGGGGUAAAGGCCUACCAAGGCGACGAUCAGUAGCUGGUCUGAGAGGACGACCAGUCACACUGGGACUGAGACACGACCCAGACUCCUACGGGAGGCAGCAGUGGGGAAUUUUGGACAAUGGGCGAAAGCCUGAUCCAGCAAUGCCGCGUGUGUGAAGAAGGCCUUCGGGUUGUAAAGCACUUUUGUCCGGAAAGAAAUCCUUGGCCCUAAUACGGUCGGGGGAUGACGGUACCGGAAGAAUAAGCACCGGCUAACUACGUG